UUUAAAAAAAAUUUGGUUUUGAAGAAACCAAGAUAAUUUAAUUUUUUAACUUAU
rnacentral:tRNA from 1 species